rnacentral:lncRNA from 1 species
CAGGAACUGGACUUCCUACAACAUGAGUGUGGGACUAAGAACGGCAGCCAGGAAACUUGAGGGAAGGAGGGAACAGGGGAGCCAUGUCUCCCACUCUAGGUGAUGGCUGGUCAAAUAAAUUAAAGGUGGGCUGGACAGAGGGAGAGGGUAUCCAGGCAACCAGAGGAGGGGUGGCACUGGCUGGAAGACAGUCAACACCUGCAAGAACUGGAAAGAGCAUGUGGAGUCGGCUGAGGAAGAGGCUCCCUUUGGCCCUUACCCUGCUACACGAUCCUGCAGGACUGUGAAGCUGGCUGCUUCUCCCCCAGAUGGAGGCCAGGUACAGCUCAGCACAGGAAGCCUGAGGAAGGCAGCUCCUUUCCCUCACCUGGGGUGCUACAGAUCACCGCUUCCGCAUCCUCUUCAUAAAGCAGCAGGUGAUGGUAGCCAGGACGCUGGCGCCGGUAACUAGGGCGACUCCUGUACCCACCAACAGGGGCACAAAUAGGGUAUCCACAGCUGGCAGAAAAGAAGACAGGCUCUGCUCAGAGAGUACCACGGUCUCUGACACUCUCCCCUGCAGAUUUUCUAGACUCAGCCCUCCCCAAGGGAGAGCUAAGCGCCAGUCCUGCCUACCUACACUUCACACACAAACACAACCAUCCCCCAUCCCCCCCACCCCCCUCCACCCCCACCACCACCCCCCACCCCCGGUCUCAGCACUCAGGCCGGCUUGGGACCCUUCAUGCAAAGGGAUGUGGAAAAAGGAUUGCAAGGGAAGACAGGAAGAUGGAAAGGGGCAAACAGAGCAGGAACAGGUGGGUAGAUGGUGGCUGUCACUCACCAUGCGUGUAGGGGUAGACUGUGACAGGCCCGGAGCGCGCACUGCCUGCCUGGUACCAGCUGUAGUCCGCAUGCUGCACCCAGGCACUUGGGGCACAGUGGUAUAUGCCUUCAUCCUCAGGCCCCAAGCCGUGCAGUCUUAGCCGAUGACUUCUGGGUCCCACCAGCUCCACACUGACAGGACCCCCUCCAGGCCGGACUCCCAGCUCUGCCACACCGUCCUGACCCACUCCACCCACAAGCUGAGCAGGGCCAGUGCUCAGCUCGCCCUCCUCUGGCCUCUCCACCCACCAGCUGGCUGCUAGUCGCAGCCCUGGGGGGCCGCCCCGCACAGAUAUGUUGCAUAGCAGGGAGGCCGUUUCUCCCCGGUACACAGUGCCCCCUGCUAGCCACGCCACAGCCUCUAGCACCACGCCUGCAGAGCAAAGAACACGGGGGUUACCAGGUGAAGGCCCAGGGGCUAAGAGGUUAGGAAAUAAACUCUAUAAGUUCUGAACCCCGUCAAGGGCUCAACAUCCUCUUACCUUCUUCUCUCACAUGCACAGGGAGAGGCCGGGAACGAGCACUGGCCGCUUCACGAAGCCGGGUCCCAGACCCUCGAACAUAGGCUUUGGCGAGGCAGCGGUAGGUGCCUGCAUCAGCGGGCCUGGCAGCCUCCAGCCGCAGUCGGUAGGUUCUGGAUGCUACUUUCUCCAUGGCAAUGUGCCGGUCCUCAUUGCACAGCAGUUCUAAGGGUUCGCCUGGGCCAAUCCGACGUUCACCAGGUCCCACGGUCACCGCCAGCUGGCUGGCUGAAACACAGCAGGAGAUGGGAGGAGUCACUGAGAUGCCUGGGCCCCCCACCUGUAAUUCUUCUUUGCAGAAAUUUAGAGGCCUCUUAUAUCUCCCUCACCCCAGGACCCGAAUUUCACCCUUCCCCCCAUAGCCUUUGUAUCUCCACGUUUAUGCGGUACUCCCGAUGCCCAACUGAGAGACACCCCCCCUCUCAGUGGGCUAUGCUGCUGCACUCACACAGAGUCUGCACAUCAACAUGAGCCAGGACUGCCCUCUUCUCUGCGACCUGGACCCAGGAGCCGUCAGGAUCCUGAAUCCACUCAGCGGCCGUACAGUGGUAGGUGCCCGAGUCUCCAGCCUGGGCACCCCCAACCACCAUUCGGUACCGAUCAGUCCCUUCCUUGCUCAGCCGAAGCUCCCCAGAAGCUAGCCUCUCAGCGUAGGGCGCUCCAGCCUCCACCGCCAUGUCGGAGUGCAGUCCCACUACUUCCUGUAGAGUGGCUCGCCCCACUGGCGCCUCCGGAAUGGCUCUCCCAAAGGACACCGACAGGUGUGUGUGUUUCUUUGUUUUGGUCUGAGCCAGGCAGCCCAGCGCAAGCUCCUGCCCCUCGUGCACUGUGAGGCGUGAGGGGGAGGUGGCAGCCUGGCGCCCUCGGGGCCCUGGAGGGGCAGCAGAUACCUGCAGCUCAUCUGGAAGAACUGGAGAGAAAGGCUUUAGUGAGAGAGGGCUUGGAGCAGCAUCCCUCCUGUUUCCUGUGUGUAUCCUAUUUCACUACACACUCUAUAGGCUUCUAGAAUGUAAGAACUGUGCUCUGUAGCUUUCUUCUAUACCGCAGAGAUGCCAAGCUUGGUCUGGGCACAUCAAGAUAUUCAAUAACUACUUGCUGAAUGUCACAGAGCAAGCCUACUGACCCCUACUCUGAUGUCUAAGACUGACCCAUUUUAAAUACUCAAAAAAGUAAUCCUGUCUUCCUUCUCUAAAGACUAAGAGGCUGGACCUGAUGGUGCCGGCCUAUAAUCGCAACUACCCAGGAAGCUAAGGCAGAAGAGUCAAGUUCAAGGGCCGUCUGGGCUACAGAACAAGUUCAGUGCUGGUCUGGUCAACUUGGAAAGUUUCUGAUUCAGCCCAUCUCCCCCCCCCCCAAAAAAAAAAAAACUGCUGGAAAGACUGGCUUGAUGGCACCGGAGCUGACACAAUACUGCCUGAGCUACACAGUGAAUUGUGGGAGUUUUGUCACCAGUUUCAGGCCAACCUAGGCUAGUUGUAAGCUAGCCUGGGCUACAAGAGUGAGCCCUCAAAAGACAACACAGGGAAUAUAGCUUAGUAGAGUGCUCCCUUGGUAUGUUCCACGCUGUAGGUUCAAUUUCCAGUACUGAGAAGAUGGGGGUGGGGGGAGAAGAGGAGAAGGAAGAAGAUGACAGAGAAGGAGGAAGACGAAGCAAAAAUAGAUCUGAGCGUGCUGGCUUAUACCUAUAACCCCAGUGCUUGUGAGGCUCUCUCACCACCUAGCUCAGAGCUCAGUACCUCUCAGCUCCACCUUGGCACUGUAGUUGCCCAGGUACUGCGUAUCUGUGGAGGGGGUGUAGCACUCAUAAAAGCCAGAGUCCUGGGCCUGCAGGCGAGCAAUCUUGAGCACCACCGAAUCUCCCUUCAGGCGCUGCACCUGCAGGUCACCAGAUGCCACACGAGGCCCAAAGACAGCAUAGGAGAACUGGCUAUCCUUGGUGCUGACAAUGCCCAGGGACGUAGCUGGGGCCUCUGGUCUGUACAUGAACCACUCGAAGUCUUGCUGGGCAGGGCCCUCAUAGUCACUCACGUUGCAGGAGAUAGAGACAGCGGUGCCAGCCACCCGGUAAAGAGGUCCCCUGGGGACAUGCACCUGCCGGGCGUAGCACCUGGUUCCUGUGGGGUAAAAGCAGAAAGAACUGGAAUCUUUUUAGAGAGAACGAGUCCCCACUUGAUGGCCAGUAUCAUCAGCACCAUUCUUGACUGCUGCCUGUGAAGGAAAGGGAAACCUAGGGAUGGUUAGAACAUAGCUGGGCGAAGACACAGAUGGGAACACAAGAUGGGACACGAGACACCAGCAUCCCAGCACAUCACGUAGGUUCAGAUCCACCUGAACAGAGGAAUACUCUAGCUAACUAGAGGCAGAGCACCUACAUGAACAGAGGAGUCCAUCCGGAGUCUGGGGUAUAGACAGCCCGGUAAGUAAAAUGCUUUCCAUGCAAGCAUCAGGACCUGAGUUCAAUUCCCGGCAACUAUGGAAAAAGCUUGGCACGGUGGCUGGUGAGUAGCCACAUAAGCCUGACAACCUGGGUUUGAGCCCCUCAAGGGAAGGAAGGAACUGAAUCCUGAAAGUUGUCUCCUCUCUCUCUCUCUCUCUCUCUCUCACACACACACACACACACACACACACACACACACACACGCACACGCACACGCACAUGAAUAAAUGCAGUGGACGGUUCCUGAGCCAUGACCCCUGAGGUUGACCUCUGACCUUUACACAGACACUCACAUAUACGCACCUGCACCCAUGCAUACAUGUGGACCCUCAUACACAUGCAAUUGGAAAUAACAAAUAAAAGAAGCAUGCCUGAUUCCCAACUCUCCAGCUCGUGGCUGGAUCUUUAUCGCUCCUACCCUGCCAUGUGUGGCGUCUCUCCGGGCUCAGAAAGAACUUCUAGCUAAGGGAUUCUGAGCCUUUUGCUGGAGGGGAGCUGACAACAUCUUACAGAAAGGCUGCUUGGCUUAGCUCUGUCACCUGGGCUAGACAAUGGAGCCAGUGGCCCAGGCUGGCUGGGGUACUGCACUGGAUGGGGCACCAUGCUGGACAGGGCACGGACCUAGUCAGUCCUCACUACACAAUACCCUCCCCACUACAGCUGUGCCAUGAGCUCACUGCUUCUCCCAGCCCACAAGGCUACACAGGCAGCUGUGGCUUCUGGGGCAAGAACCAGGCUCUGCCCAGGCCUGGGGCAGAAGAUCCCUUCCCCGCCCCCAGAAUCUGUCAACCUUCUGGCUAACCCAGAUGAUGCACUAUGCACAGCCCCCCAAACAAAAGCUUUCAUUUACAUAUGAUUUGCCUAUCUGCGCAGCAUUUGCAUAGACCUCCUUUCAAUAAGGAGACCCCAAACACCUGCUGCCCCUUCCCCCUUCCCCCUUCUCUCUCUCUCCCUCCCUCCACCCAUUUUACCCCACCCCCUGUUCCAACAGACAGCCGGUUCCAAAACCUUGGACUGUCCAGCUUCUUUCUCCUCUCCACUACUUCUAGGUAAGACCGCAGAACCCUAGAAUGCAAGAAGGGCUGUCAAUCAUUCCUCAGAUGAGAGAAAUGAAGAAACUCCCAGAGAGCACCUCUAGGGAGCACUGCCACUAGGUUCUAACCACAGAUGUGAGUCUAGAGCUCUCUCCCAGCCAACACGGAAGGCCUGGCCGUGAGAACCAUCUCUCUUCUAGAUGAGAAAAGUAAAGUGAAAUGUGACAUUGUGGCCAAGUCCCUGCCCUCUCUGGAGGGCCUCUACACACCCCUGAAGAGGGACAAAACCAAGAAGGCGGAGAUGCUUCCAAGGAGAGCCCUGGUUUACAAAACUGUAAUUUCCCGGAUUUCCAGGGGUAAGUCCACAGCUUGCUACUGGCCCUGGAGGAAACCACCCAAGAGCCUGAGAGCCUGCUCUACAGUUCUCGCUCCUUUCCUUCUUCUGGCUACGUCACGCAGAGAACACAUGACCACCGCCUGAAGCAGAGGCUAGAGUCAGAAAGCCAACAUGGGACCAACCCUUUCCUCUCCUGGGUCUCAGUUUCUAUCUCUCAGCACUAAGAGCUCCCAGUUCUGAUGUUGAACCCGUGAGUAUAUGUGUGUGACUCAGGCACAUAUCGCUCCAGGCACAUUUCAUAAUCAGGAGGAUGGUUAAGGCAGCCAAGCUGACACCAUCCUGGCUGCCCAUGGGUAAACUCUGCUGAGAAGGUCCCCUCCCACCUUCCUGGCUCCACACAAGCUGAUGCUUGGAGAUCCCCAUGGGAAAGUUGUCCCCACAGCCUCAGAACAUAGGCUGCUACAAGGUUCUCAAUGGCUGGGCUGCCUCCUUUCUAACAGCCAAAGGUCUGCUUUGGAGUCAGUUCUGAGUUCAAAUCCACCCCCCACCCUCACUGGAUACACAGUGGUAUUUCACAUCAUCUGUGAAGUGAAUGCCAGUGCUGGCUGCAGUGGGCUAAGAUGACAUUCAGCUCCUCUCCCGCCCCUGAAUAACACUCACUCCUCCCAACCACCCCUGGGCUCAUCCCUGCUCGGGUUAAGCCCAAAGGAAAAGAAGCAAUCGCUAGGCAACCAAGCCCCACAGCUCCUUCAACUCCCUACAUCACUCUGCCUCCCGCCUUGUUCCCAAAGGAGUUUUCAUCCUGGCCCCAAGAAGCCCAAGGAACCAUUCUGUACAACACUGCGCAGUUCUGGUAUAAACCAGAGAAGGAGGUUGGGGUGCCCCACUAUAGUAUCUUCUCCAUAUGCAUAACACACACACACACACACACACACACACACACACACACACACGUUCCUUUCAAGGGCUUCAGUCUCCUGGCAACUGCUCCAUGCCAUAUCUUUCCCAGAACACCUCCUACAGGGAGCCCUCCAAGUCAGACCCCAAACAUGGUAAUGUUAGCAACCUCCACAGGCCUCAACACACACACACUCACACUCACACACACACACCAGACAUGACGCAAGGUUGGCCCAGAAAACACACCAUCAUAAACACCCACCAGGACAGACACUGGGUGCUUAGAGAUCCCAGGUUCAGUUUCCAUGGAGCCUGGUUUCUCCUGAGGCAGGGAUGUUGGGACCAACUGAGUCUGACAACCAGGCAAAUAUCUGGGAGCGUGGAAGAAGGGCAAAGAGGGAACUGGCCCAGGGUGGAGACACGUGAGGGAAGAAGCCUCAGAUGGUGACAUGUUAUAUUGGGAGGUGGGGGUGUUGGGGAGACUUUUUUCAGAGAUCGUGGUCAGAAUCAGCCCCUGGGCCUCCAGCCAACUCUAGGCAAUUAUGAAGACCGCCAGGCACUGCCCACGCAGAGCAAACACCCAAAACCAGGCCUUGAGCCGAGAGUGGGGCAGAAGGUUGUCACGGUAUUUGGUAGCAACGACCCCAGACGCUGGGUGUAACCGAUGAGAAGUGGUGCCUGCCUCCGGAGGCCCGAUGGUGUCUCAGGGGAUACCUCAGUAGGUCGCCCAUAUGCCCCAGCUAGGAACCUAGAGCGAGGACACCACCACCCUCCCCAUAACUGAUUGGGCAGACAGGCGCAAAAGGAAGCGAGACGCCGAGCCCAGAGACAGUGGAGGCACGUCUGUUGGAGAAGUAGGGAUGCAACCAGCUCUGAAAUGCUAGGAAGGUGGGCUGGUGGGCUGCACGGUGUUAGGCACCUACCCGGCCGGGACAGGGACGCGGCGACCACCACCUGGCUUACCAAGUAUUAGCAGCAGCAGCAGGAGCGAACUCAGCGGCGUGGGGCUAGGGACGCCCAUUCUGCGUAGGCGGCUCUGAGGAGACUCCUGGGGGCGGCGUGGGCUCUGGGGGGCCAGGGCCGCGGGGGGCGCAUGCCCAGGUGGGGGGCAGAAAGCGGAGCAGUGAAGCGUGGGUGCGCAGAGCCCAGCCGAGCGGGAGCCGCCAACUCCCCGCCCUCCACCCUUCUUCCCCUCCU